UUUCCUUCGGGACUGAUUAUUUUGUGACUGAGUGGCGGACGGGGUGAGUAACGCGUGGGUAACCUGCCUUGUACAGGGGGGAUAACAGUUGGAAACAGCUGCUAAUACCGCAUAAGCGCACGGCAUCGCAUGAUGCAGUGUGAAAAACUCCGGUGGUAUAAGAUGGACCCGCGUUGGAUUAGCUAGUUGGUGAGGUAACGGCCCCACCAAGGCGACGAUCCAUAGCCGACCUGAGAGGUUGAACGGCCACAUUGGGACUGAGACACGGCCCAGACUCC
rnacentral:rRNA from 1 species